GGUCGAAUAGCCUGCUCAGGGUUACGGCAGUAGAUUGCUACGCUAUGAUUUAACUUAUUAAGUCGUGGGUUCAGCUCCCACUUCGACUU
rnacentral:tRNA from 1 species